ACGAGGACGGCGGGGUCGACGGCGGUGGCGGGGAAGGAGGAGGUUGUGGUGGCAAAAUGCGGGGAUUCGCGAGCGGUGUUGUGUUGUGGCGAUGUGGCCGUGCCCUUGUCUGUUGAUCACAAGGCUUGCUGAGAAGGAGAAUGGAAGCAGCUGGAGGAAGGGUCAUAGAUUGGAAUGGAUCCCGUGUCCUAGGCGUGCUUGCUACAUUGAGGUCAAUGGGUAUGUGGGACUGAACUUGAUGAUGAAGAUCAAAUUAGUGAGCGAACUUCUAAAAUUCUUGCCGCGCAUCAUGCCAACUCCUUGGACUGGAUACGUGGAGGGUCAAAGGGGGAUAGAAGGCGUGGCAAAGGCUCUGGUAGGAAGUGUGGUCUUUUGGGAAAUAACUUCACAGUUGCAUUGAUGGUGCAACUACGGGAUCCUUUGCUGAAUUAUGAACCAGUCGGUGCACCAAUGCUUGCGCUAAUUCAGGUUGAGAGAGUGUUUGUUCCACCAAAGCCAAGGAUUUACCUCAAGGUUUCUGAAGUAAAAUAUGAGGAUGAAGAGGAUGAGUCAGCCGAGUCCAAAAAGAAGGAAGAAAUUAAGGAGGGGACAGAAGAAAAGAAAUCUGAGGUGGAAGAAAUUCCCAGUAUAAGAUUACUGAAGUCCAUGUUGCUGGUCUCAAGACUGAUCCUGGGAAGAGAAAGGUCUGGGGAAGUUCAAACCAGCAACAAUCUGGUUCCCGUUGGUUGCUCACUAAUGGAAAGGGGAGAGCAAUAAGCAUCUGUUCCUGAAGUCGAAGACUGCUUCUUCUAAAUCUACUGCCCCAGCAACAACUAAGGCACAGCCUGGUGACACACUGUGGAGCAUCUCAUCCCGUGUUCAUGGAACUGGUGCUAAAUGGAAGGAAUUGGCAGCUCUUAACCCACACAUACGCAAUCCCAAAAUUAUUCUCCCAAAUGAAACCGUCAGGUUGUGUUAAGUUGGGGAUGGGAAACGGAUCUUCUUGAAAGAGGCUUGGUUUGCCAAGCUGGGUUGAGUGAAGUUUAUGAGCUACAUUAGUUGUGGGCUUGCUGAUUGAAACCACACAUUGUGGUUGUCUAAGAAAGAUGAAAGUGCUGGCUCCUGCCUUUGAGAACUCUCUUACCUUCCCAAUUGUUAUGGACUGAUUAUCACCAAUCUAAGGUACAAAAGAUCUGUCUAUGCAAUUGUUUUCAUCUCUCUCUUCUUCCAUCCCCUGUAAUCAGUUUGCAUAUGAACAGUAAUUUUUUGUGUUUUGUUUGGGAUGAUAUGCUACCAAUCCUUUGUCUUGUGAUUAGGAACAACAGAUCGGUCCAUGAGAUUUUAGGUUCC